rnacentral:rRNA from 1 species
AAGUCGUAACAAGGUAACCGUAGGUGAACCUGCGGUUGGAUCAUUAACAAAAAAAUUGGAAAGCUUUUUCGAAUACUCUUCGGAAAAGCUUUUUAAACACCAAUUGUGAACUUGUAUUAUUGUUUCUUUUCUGUGGUAUUUCAAAAGACUGGUUUGCGCUAGUUUUUUGAUGCCCAGAAAAAACCUUUUAAACUUAAAGAUUAUACCAUUUUGACCAUUAAAUAAAAGUUUGAAAUUUUUUUUAAACAUUAAAUAAAUUAAAAAAACAACUUUUGGCAACGGAUCUCUAGGCUCUUGUAACGAUGAAGAANGCAGCGAAAUGCGAUAAGUAAUGUGAAUUGCAGAAUUCCGUGAAUCAUUAAAUCUUUGAACGCACAUUGCGCUCCCGGGUACUCCCGAGAGCAUGUCUGUUUGAGAAUCAGUUUAACCUCUCACUCUUUAUAUUUAUUUAUAAAACAGUGGAUUUGGGACUAUUUUUCGAUUACGAAAAAAGACCUUUAAUUUAAAUUUGACCUUUAGACUUUGCUAAAUUUUAGCGCUUAACACCUAGAAGGCAUGACCAAUGNCAAAGAAGUAAUUCUUGACCUUUAGACUGCUGAUAAUAGGUUUAGUUAAUUUUUAANACAACUUGAAGANUCCAACAUUAAAAAAACACGGUUAAAAAGUUUUUUAAACUUUUUUUCCAAGACUUUGAUCUCAAAUCAGAUAAGACUACCCGCUGAACUUAAGCAUAUCAAUAAGCGGAGGAAAAGAAACUANCAAGGAUUCCCCUAGUAACGGCGAGUGAAGCGGGAAUAGCUCAANNUUGAANUCUCUUGGGUUUUNCACUCAAGCGAAUUGUAGUUUAAAGAAAUGUUUUCGGGGGAAGGCUAGGUCUAAGUUCUUUGGAACAAGGCAUCAUAGAGGGUGAGAAUCCCGUAUGUGAUCUAGAGUUACUUCUCCUAUGUGAUACAUUUUCAAAGAGUCGGGUUGUUUGGGAAUGCAGCCCAAAAUGGGUGGUAAAUACCAUCUAAAGCUAAAUAUUGGCAAGAGACCGAUAGCGAACAAGUACCGUGAGGGAAAGAUGAAAAGAACUUUGAAAAGAGAGUUAAAUAGUACGUGAAAUUGCCAAAAGGGAAACGUUUGAAACCAGUUUUGUUGGUGGAAUCCCAACUGGUCUAACGAUCAGUAUAUGUUUUCAUCAACAGGUCAACAUCGGUUUCGUCUUGAAGUAAAAAACCAGGUGGAAGGUAGCUGCUCUCUUCGGAGUGUGGUGUUAUAGACAUCUGGCGAUGCUUUGAGCGAGACCGAGGAAUGCAGUGCAGUCUUGGGGAACCAUUCGCUAAUUUGAGGUGUUGGCUGAACAGCUUGCUGAUCAGUCGAUUCCCUUGAGUUAAUCGGGCGGUGUACCACACCUGUGCUUAGGAUGUUGACAAAAUGGUUUUAAACGACC